rnacentral:rRNA from 1 species
UGUACACGCUGUGACUAGCAUAUCAAUAAGCGGAGGAAAAGAAACUAACAAGGAUUCCCUUAGUAACGGCGAGUGAAGCGGGAAGAGCUCAAAUUUGAAAUCUUCAAGGUUUUACCUUGACGAAUUGUAGUUUAAAGAAGUGUUUUCUGCUGAAGUUUUGGUAAAAGUUCUUUGGAAUAGGACAUCAUAGAGGGUGAGAAUCCCGUAUUUGACCAUUAUUUUCAGCUUUGUGAUACACUUUCAAAGAGUCGGAUUGUUUGGGAAUGCAGUCCAAAAUGGGUGGUAAAUUUCAUCUAAAGCUAAAUAUUGGCGAGAGACCGAUAGCGAACAAGUACCGUGAGGGAAAGAUGAAAAGAACUUUGAAAAGAGAGUUAAACAGUACGUGAAAUUGUCAAAAGGGAAGCGUUUGACACCAGUGUUGUUUUCUCGAAAAUCAAUUAAAAAAGGCAGGAUUUUGUGUUGUAUUGACUUUAUCAGCUUUCUGCACUCUUUUCUUGUCUUUUUUAAUGCACUUUUCGUUUAACAAGUCAACAUCAGUUUCUUUCGUUGUAAAAGGGUCAUUGGAAGGUGGCUUUCUUUUCGGAGAAAGUGUUCAUAGCCUUUGGCCUCUGCAAUCGAAGAGACUGAGGUCUGCAGCGUAGACUCUUCGGGGUUAGAUACAUUUGUGCUAAGUUAUAGCUUUUUAUAGACAACUUGUUGACUAUAAUUAGUCUUGUAGCUUACUCGCUUAUGCUAUUUUACCUACGCUUAGGAUGUUGAUCUACAGAGCGAGAGU